UACGUAGGGUGCGAGCGUUAAUCGGAAUUACUGGGCGUAAAGCGUGCGCAGGCGGUUCGUCGUGUCCGAUGUGAAGCCCGGCUCAACCUGGGAAUGCAUUGGAACUGCGGACUCGAGUGUGCAGAGGGGUGAAUCGCGUGUAGCAGUGAAUGCGUAGAGAUGCGAGAACACGAUGCGAGCAGCCCUGCUACACUGACGCUCAGCACGAGCGUGGAGCAACAG
rnacentral:rRNA from 1 species